ACGCGGAUGGUCAAAGUCAAACAAGCCUCUCGACACUGCAGAGUGCAGUCUGCGAGCCGACUAGUCCCGGCACCCGACUCCCCACUCCUGACCGGAGUAGCCAGCUCCCAGACAUUGACGAGACAUAAACCCACUUGCCCACGCGCACGGCAAGCCGGCAAGGCCACGCGAGAAAUUCCAUCUCGAGCAGAGCGCAGCAACACGUGCGCGGAGGUCACAGCUCCGAUCGACAAGCCGGCCAAGCAGCCACACAUGCCUCCUCACAUGGCGGCGAUCUCGCACCGGAUCGCAGGAUCCGGCCCGCGCGUCGCCGUUGUGGCGCCGCCUCGCCCGCGGGGGCGCGCUGCCGUGGUCGCGGGUGCUGCGGCGAAGGGCGCACAUCGGGAGCGGACGCUGGAGGGCGCGAGUGACGACCUGAGGGCCGCCGCGGCUCAGUGUCUGGACUGGGCUCCCGCGCGGCGUCGGGUGCGGGCCGCCUUCGCGCCCGUGCUCCCCACCCUCGACCACUGCCUUUUCAAGAUGGCUCACAAUGAAAUCCAGAUGGAAGAGAAUUACGAGACCAAUUCAAAGGGCGUUGAAAUAUUCUGGAAGAGUUGGCUGCCAAGAGAGGGCACUGCAACUAAGGCUGCACUUUUCUUCUGCCAUGGAUAUGGGGAUACCUGCACUUUCUUUUUUGAAGGGAUUGCUAAGAGGAUAGCAGCUGCUGGUUAUGCAGUUUAUGCUAUGGAUUAUCCUGGUUUUGGCAUGUCAUAUGGUCUCCAUGGCUAUAUUGCAAGCUUUGAUGGAAUGGUGGACCAUGUCAUUGAACAGUAUGCACGAAUAAGAGGCAUGAAAGAAGUGUGUGAGCUGCCACACUUUCUCUUGGGGCAGUCAAUGGGAGGUGCAGUUGCCCUGAAAGUACACUUGAAGCAACAACAAGAAUGGGAUGGUGUGCUUCUUGUCGCACCUAUGUGCAAGAUUUCAGAAGAUGUAACACCACCUGCACCUGUAUUGAAGGCACUGAGCAUAUUGUCAUGUCUUCUUCCUGAGGCGAAGUUAUUUCCGCAGAAAGAUAUAGGAGAUUUGGCAUUUAGAGAUCCAAGGAAAAGGCUGAGUACAAUGCCAUCUCAUAUUCUGACCAAAUGAGAUUAAGAACAGCAGUUGAACUUUUAAAAGCCACGAAGGACAUUGAAUCACAGUUGGAAAAGAUCUCCUCUCCAUUGCUGAUUCUUCACGGAGCCGCAGACAUGGUAACCGAUCCUCAGGUCAGCAAAUUCCUUUAUGAGAAAGCCAGCACGAAGGACAAGACCCUCAAGCUCUAUGAAGGCAGCUACCAUUCAAUCUUAGAGGGAGAACCAGAUGACCGGAUUUCAACUGCCAUUAACGACAUCAUUUCAUGGCUAGAUUCACACUGUUAAAUACCCCUUUGUCUAUAGCCUCUCAUGUCCUCAUCCAUUGUUUUGGAUUUAUAGUUCCUUAUUAGAGUACCAUGGGUCUCUAGUGCUUUAAAUUUUGCCAUGGUGUGCAGAGAUAAGUAUCUCUCGAAUUAAUUAGUUGUGCUUGCUAUCUUGACACUGUUGGUUUUAUGUUAAUUGCGGACACCGCAUUCAAUA